CAUCUGAGACGAGCGUUACGAGUCAAAACUAGGACAGGCUAGGCGCGCUCCUUGGGGUCCAACACUAUGGAUGUAGUAAUCACCUACUCCGUAACAAUUUCUCAAGACGUAUCUCCAGGUCGUAGGAUAGAUAUACAGACAAACUCUCAACCAGGAUUCGAUCAACAGAACCACAUGGCUACAAUCCUGUGACUAAUCAACACCACUAUACAAGGCGUGAUCUUGAUAGCUAUCGAUGUCAAUACAGACACUAGCAAUCAAAUAGAUCAAUACCAAUACUCAAGGCACGAUCUCCGCUCGUGUGUUUCAAUGAGAACUUAUAUUACUUCUAAUACCGUAAUCAAAGCAGAGUCUCAAUCAACUGAGGUUUAUUUGUAGUUCACACACUGUUAGAAAUGCCAUUUUGUAAAUUUUCAAUGUCAUCAUAUUUCAGGCCAAUAUAACCAGUAUAUAGAAGA